UAACACGUAGGAGGCAAACGUUAUCCGGAUUUACUGGGCGUAAAGCGCGUGUAGGUGGUACUGUAAGUAGGGCGUGAAAGCUCCUGGCUCAACUGGGAGAGGCCGUUCUAAACUACAGAACUAGAGGAUGGUAGAGGGAGGUGGAAUUCCAGGUGUAGCGGUGGAAUGCGCAGAUAUCUGGAGGAACACCGGUGGCGAAGGCGGCCUCCUGGACCAUUCCUGACACUCAGACGCGAAAGCUAGGGUAGCAAACGGGAUUAGAGACCCCGGUAGUCCUAGCCCUAAACGAUGUAGACUAGGCGUCGGAAGCUUAAUCGCUUUCGGUGUCCAAGCUAACGCGAUAAGUCUACCGCCUGGGGACUACGGCCGCAAGGUUAAAACUCAAAGGAAUUGACGG
rnacentral:rRNA from 1 species